rnacentral:rRNA from 1 species
CCUACGGGCUGCAGCAGUGAGGAAUAUUGGUCUAUGGUCGGGAGACUGAACCAGCCAAGCCGCGUGAGGGAGGAAGGUACAGAGUAUCGUAAACCUCUUUUGUCAGGGAACAAAGGCGGGGACGUUUCCCCGGAUGAGUGUACCUGAAGAAAAAGCAUCGGCUAACUUCGUGCCAGCAUCCGCGGUAAUACGGAGGAUGCGAGCGUUAUCCGGUUUUAUUGGGUUAAAGGGGUGGCCGGGGGUUCUGUUAAGUCAGCGGUCAAAGCCCGCGGAUCAACCCCGGCCCGCCGUUGAAACUGGCAGUCGCGAGUUGGAGAGAAGUGUGCGGGAUGCGCGGGGUAGGGGUGAAAUGCAUGGAUAUCGCGCAGAACUCAGAUGGGGAGGGCAGCAUGCGGGCUCCACACUGGCGCUGAGGCACGAAAGCGUGGGUAUCGAAGAGGAUUAGAGAGCCGGGUAGUC